AAACGACUGCUAAGACUGGAUAGGAGAUAAGAAGGCAUCUUCUUAUUUUUAAAAGACCUAGCAAUAGGUAUGCUUAAGGAGGGGCUUGCGUCACAUUAGUUAGUUGGUAGGGUAAAAGCCUACCAAGACGAUGAUGUGUAGCCGGGCUGAGAGGCUGAACGGCCACAUUGGAACUGAGACACGGUCCAAACUCCUACGGGAGGCAGCAGUAGGGAAUUUUCGGCAAUGGAGGAAACUCUGACCGAGCAACGCCGCGUGAACGAUGAAGUAUUUCGAUACGUAAAGUUCUUUUAUUAGGGAAGAAAAGAUGGUGGAAAAACCAUUAUGACGGUACUUAAUGAAUAAGCCCCGGCUAACUAUGUGCCAGCAGCCGCGGUAAUACAUAGGGGGCGAGCGUUAUCCGGAAUUAUUGGGCGUAAAGGGUGCGUAGGCGGUUUAAUAAGUUUAUGGUCUAAGUGCAAUGCUUAACAUUGUGAUGCUAUAAAAACUGUUUGACUAGAGUUGGAUAGAGGCAAGUGGAAUUCCAUGUGUAGCGGUAAAAUGCGUAAAUAUAUGGAGGAACACCAUGAGCGAAGGCGGCUUGCUGGGUCUUAACUGACGCUGAGGCACGAAAGCGUGGGGAGCAAACAGGAUUAGAUACCCUGGUAGUCCACGCCGUAAACGAUGAGUACUAGACGUUGGGUUAAACCAGUGUCGAAGUUAACACAUUAAGUACUCCGCCUGAGUAGUACGUACGCAAGUAUGAAACUUAAAGGAAUUGACGGGACUCCGCACAAGCGGUGGAUCAUGUUGUUUAAUUCGAAGGUACCCGAAAAACCUCACCAGGUCUUGACAUGCUUCUGCAAAGCUGUAGAAAUACAGUGGAGGUUAUCAGUUGCACAGGUGGUGCAUGGUUGUCGUCAGCUCGUGUCGUGAGAUGUUGGGUUAAGUCCCGCAACGAGCGCAACCCUUGUUGUUAAUUGCCGUCAUUAAGUUGGGGACUUUAGCAAGACUGCCAGUGAUAAAUUGGAGGAAGGUGGGGACGACGUCAAGUCAUCAUGCCCCUUAUGACCUGGGCUACAAACGUGAUACAAUGGCUGUUACAAAGGGUAGCUGAAGCGCAAGCUUUUGGCAAAUCUCAAAAAAACAGUCUCAGUUCGGAUUGAAGUCUGCAACUCGACUUCAUGAAGUUGGAAUCGCUAGUAAUCGCGAAUCAGCAUGUCGCGGUGAAUACGUUCUCGGGGUUUGUACACACCGCCCGUCAAA
rnacentral:rRNA from 1 species